AAAAAGACAAACCCUGGGUUUCCGUGUUCAACGUUUGACUGUAUGUCUUAUAUAAAUUUUUUUUAUAAUUAGUAUUUUUAUUGUUGUUAGAUGAUAAAACAUAAUUAAUACUUUAUGCGUGACUUAUUUUUUUAAUUUGUUUUAUAUUUUUUUCAAAUAAGACGGGUGGUCAAAUGUUGGACACGGAAACCUAUG
rnacentral:pre_miRNA from 1 species